CUCAAUAUUAAAAAUAUAUGUACAUAGUAUAUACAAAAUAAAUAAAUAUGUCGCACAGUUCACAAUUCGAGAGCCGAAAUUUUUUUUACAAAAUAUACGCGCACGCCGUUUUGCCUUUAGAAUCGAACUAAAACAAGGGCGGCGCAGCAAAUUAGCAGCAAGCAAGAAGCGCCUGCCCGAGCAAUUGAAUAAAAACAACAACAAACAUAACUAAUUUUAAUACAGAAUUAUGGCGGCAGCAGAGUGGCAAAUAAGAUACAAUAAAAAAGUGGAUUAUUUUUGUCUCAGUGGAGCAGAUGGCGGCGGCACGAUAAAGCGGUGAGUCGAGGUGAAUAAAGUGGAGCUUAGUCGGUCGCUAAGCUGGGCAGCGGUUCGUGGGUGGACCGGAGAUAUUAAAGAGAAUUAUGGAAUAUUUGAGGUCGGCGAAAAGUGCGCGAAAAAGGAUUGUCAAUUCUCUGAAGUGGCCCACACAAUACAUCAACAUAUCAAGCUGUUUAGUAUGGCAACUACUCAACUAGAUUACCACAGGGAUAUAAGAUAAAAGCAUUGUGCCUUUCAUGGCAAUAUUCUUUUUGGCUGCUUCCCGAGAGGUAGCGCAUGCGCAGAGGAGAUAAAUUUCAAAUGCAAACAGAAACAAACAAACAAAUAUACGAACUUAAAAUAUACAUUGUAAGUAACUGUUGAAGUGGUGAAUAAAACAGAAACAACAAAAUGCGUGGCCAACAAAAAUACAACUAACAGGUGAGUGUGACAGCAGCAAAUAAGGAGUGGAAAGCAGUGCAAGAACAAGAACAAAUCGAAGCACAACAAACCAAAAUAGCGGCAUAUGAAAUCAGUUGCCAAAGUGGUGGGUGUGCCAUAUACGGGGAAAAUCAGCUUAAAUAUAGAUAUUCAUGUAUGCGCGUAUAUGAAAUUAUAUAAGUGA